CCUACGGGUGGCUGCAGUCGAGAAUCUUCGUCAAUGGGGGAAACCCUGAACGAGCGACGCCGCGUGUGGGAUGAAGGCCUUUGGGUUGUAAACCACUGUCAGGGGGGAUGAAACCGCAAGGUUGACAGAGCCCCAGAGGAAGCACGGGCUAAGUUCGUGCCAGCAGCCGCGGUAAUACGAACUGUGCAAACGUUAUUCGGAAUCACUGGGCUUACAGGGUGCGUAGGUGGUCAGAAAAGUCAGGUGUGAAAUCCCCCAGCUCAACUGGGGAAUGG
rnacentral:rRNA from 1 species